rnacentral:rRNA from 1 species
UGGGGAAUAUUGCACAAUGGGGGAAACCCUGAUGCAGCGACGCCGCGUGAACGAAGAAGGUAUUCGUAUCGUAAAGUUCUGUCCUAUGGGAAGAUAAUGACAGUACCAUAGAAGAAAGCUCCGGCUAAAUACGUGCCAGCAGCCGCGGUAAUACGUAUGGAGCGAGCGUUGUCCGGAAUUAUUGGGCGUAAAGGGUACGCAGGCGGUUUAAUAAGUCGAAUGUUAAAGAUCGGGUCUCAACCCCGCAAAGCAUUGGAAACUGAUAAACUUGAGUAGUGGAGAGGAAAGUGGAAUUCCUAGUGUAGUGGUGAAAUACGUAGAUAUUAGGAGGAAUACCAGUAGCGAAGGCGACUUUCUGGACACAAACUGACGCUGAGGUACGAAAGCGUGGGGAGCAAACAGG